rnacentral:rRNA from 1 species
CCUACGGGAGGCUGCAGUGAGGAAUAUUGGUCAAUGGACGAGAGUCUGAACCAGCCAAGUAGCGUGAAGGAUGACUGCCCUAUGGGUUGUAAACUUCUUUUAUAUGGGAAUAACAUGUUCCACGUGUGGGAUUUUGUAUGUACCAUAUGAAUAAGGAUCGGCUAACUCCGUGCCAGCAGCCGCGGUAAUACGGAGGAUCCGAGCGUUAUCCGGAUUUAUUGGGUUUAAAGGGAGCGUAGGUGGAUUGGUACGUCAGUUGUGAAAGUUUGCGGCUCAACCGUAAAAUUGCAGUUGAAACUGGCAGUCUUGAGUACAGUAGAGGUGGGCGGAAUUCGUGGUGUAGCGGUGAAAUGCUUAGAUAUCACGAAGAACUCCGAUUGCGAAGGCAGUUCACUGGACUGCAACUGACACUGAGGCUCGAAAGUGUGGGUAUCAAACAGGAUUAGAUACCCUGGUAGUC